UUUUUGAUUUUAUUGAUUUCCUUACUUUUUUUUUUUUUUUAAAUGCAACAGUAAACCAUUGGCUUAGCUAAUAUUUUUCACAUUUUGUCCAACAGGGUAACAGAGGUCCACCUGGUGUGCCAGGUUUGAUGGGAAAUUCUGGUAAACCGGUAAGAUCAUUGAUCUUAUUCAAAAAAUCUAGAAAAAUGAAAAGUUUUGCAUUGGACAAGAAAUGAUUUUUCAAAUUUGUUGUGUUCUUCCUAUCCUGAAAAUAGGGUGAACGGGGGCCAGAGGGAGAAGCAGGUCCGACAGGACCCCGGGGGCCACCAGGCAGCAGAGGGGAGCCAGGUCCUUCAGGUCCUCCAGGUUUACCAGGGAAAUUGGUAAGCAGUUUAUUUCCAUAUUCAGUGCUUGUAUUUACUUUCAAGAAGCUAUGGUAUCAUCUGGAACUACACUUACCCAUUUAUCUGUGCAGGGAACUGAAAAUAAUGUUGAAACGAGUGACUGUUGAGUUUCUUUUUCAGUCCUCUGUGACUGUGCUAAUAUUAGCAAAUGCUGUUUUAAAGUAUAUGGAGAUGUGUGGGACUUUUUCUUCGGUUUAAAAAACCAUAAAUCCUGUGAUGUGCAAAGUUGGGUUGCACACUCUUGUGUGGACUGUGUGUACUGGGGGAAUGGGAGCAGUGAAAGACCAGCUUUCUGCUAACAGCUGCAUGAAACUAAUGAAUGGAGAGGAUUAUGAAUACCACCUUUUACCAGAGCUCUAGCAGUGUUUACACAGUAACAGUCAGAAACAUCGCUGGCUGAAAGAACCUGCUGUUACAGAGGAAUGCACAAAUCAUAGAGCACAAGGUCUUAGGAGGUAUUUUUAAGAGAACCAGACUGUCGUUGAGGGACUGGAGGGUAGAU
rnacentral:lncRNA from 1 species